GACGAACGCUGGCGGCGUGCCUAAUACAUGCAAGUAGAACGCACAGUUUAUACCGUAGCUUGCUACACCAUAAACUGUGAGUUGCGAACGGGUGAGUAACGCGUAGGUAACCUGCCUGGUAGCGGGGGAUAACUAUUGGAAACGAUAGCUAAUACCGCAUAAUAUUGAUUAUUGCAUGAUAAUUGAUUGAAAGAUGCUAUUGCAUCACUACCAGAUGGACCUGCGUUGUAUUAGCUAGUAGGUGAGGUAACGGCUCACCUAGGCGACGAUACAUAGCCGACCUGAGAGGGUGAUCGGCCACACUGGGACUGAGACACGGCCCAGACUCCUACGGGAGGCAGCAGUAGGGAAUCUUCGGCAAUGGACGAAAGUCAGACCGAGCAACGCCGCGUGAGUGAAGAAGGGUUUCGGAUCGUAAAGCUCUGUUGUAAGAGAAGAACGGGUGUGAGAGUGGAAAGUUCACACUGUGACGGUAUCUUACCAGAAAGGGACGGCUAACUACGUG
rnacentral:rRNA from 1 species